GGUUAUGGCUCAGUGGUAGAGCACUCAUCUUGCACGUGCGAGGCCCUGGGUUUAAUCCUCAGCACCA
rnacentral:tRNA from 1 species